rnacentral:rRNA from 1 species
UGGGGAAUAUUGGACAAUGGGCGCAAGCCUGAUCCAGCAAUUCCGCGUGGGUGAAGAAGGUCUUCGGAUUGUAAAGCCCUUUCGGCGGGGACGAUGAUGACGGUACCCGCAGAAGAAGCCCCGGCUAACUUCGUGCCAGCAGCCGCGGUAAUACGAAGGGGGCUAGCGUUGCUCGGAAUGACUGGGCGUAAAGGGCGCGUAGGCGGCACGGACAGUCAGGCGUGAAAUUCCUGGGCUUAACCUGGGGGCUGCGUUUGAUACGUCCGAGCUAGAGGAUGGAAGAGGCUCGUGGAAUUCCCAGUGUAGAGGUGAAAUUCGUAGAUAUUGGGAAGAACACCGGUGGCGAAGGCGGCGAGCUGGUCCAUUACUGACGCUGAGGCGCGAAAGCGUGGGGAGCAAACAGG